AACACUCACACUCACACUCACGGAGAUUCCCAUCUUCUAUUUGGGUGCCCCUGUUGGAAAAGGAUGCAAAUGACAUUUGCACCAUUGAGCGGAUCAGCGGAAUGAAGUCUAUCAACCUGAUUUAUGUGGCUCGUGGGCAACCAUGGCGAGUCUUUAGAGCAAUUUCCUAACAUUGUCUGAAUCUUGUUUUAUUUAAAAGUUUAUAUAUUCGAUUUGUUGGUAAUAAAUCUCUCAAUGAUGUAUGCAGAGAUGCUCUUGAUGCAUUGGGCUUGGUCCGCUAUUGUUGCAGGCGUAUGCUCAUGACCCACGUCGACCUGAUCGAGAAGCUCCUCAAUUACAACACUCUGGAGAAAAGUGAGGCCUCUUAGAUGAAAUGGUGGUGCUUAUCGAUGUGAUCCUUAGAUCAUAUGACUUUGGUGGCCCACUGUAUAUGCGAAUGCUAGAAGUGACAUUUUGACUGGUGAAGACAGGGAGCCUUUUGCAUCUGACCCUUGAUUUGAGUAUCAAUGCAAAGGAAAUUAGAAUGUC